UAACCUGCCUAUUAGAGGGGGAUAACUAUUGGAAACGAUAGCUAAUACCGCAUAACAGUAUGUAACACAUGUUAGAUGCUUGAAAGAUGCAAUUGCAUCGCUAGUAGAUGGACCUGCGUUGUAUUAGCUAGUAGGUAGGGUAAUGGCCUACCUAGGCGACGAUACAUAGCCGACCUGAGAGGUGAUCGGCCACACUGGGACUGAGACACGGCCCAG
rnacentral:rRNA from 1 species